rnacentral:rRNA from 1 species
AUUGAACGCUGGCGGCAGGCUUAACACAUGCAAGUCGAGCGAGCGGCGGACGGGUGAGUAAUGUCUGGGAAACUGCCUGAUGGAGGGGGAUAACUACUGGAAACGGUAGCUCAUACCGCAUACCAUCAGAUGUGCCCAGAUUGGAUUAGCUAGUAGGUGGGGUAAUGGCUCACAUAGGCGACGAUCCCUAGCUGGUCUGAGAGGACGACCAGCCACACUGGAACUGAGACACGAUCCAGACGCCUACGGGAGGCAGCAGUGGGGAAUAUUGCACAAUUGGCGCAAGCCGGAUGCAGCCAUGCCGCGUGUAUGAAGAAGGCCUUCGGGUUGUAAAGCACUUUCAGCGGGGAGGCGGUACUCGCAGAAGAAGCACCGGCUAACUCCGUGCCAGCAGCCGCGGUAAUAC